rnacentral:rRNA from 1 species
GAUGAACGCUGGCGGCGUGCCUAAUACAUGCCAGUCGAGCGAACGGACGAGAAGCUUGCUUCUCUGAUGUUAGCGGCGGACGGGUGAGUAACACGUGGAUAACCUACCUAUAAGACUGGGAUAACUUCGGGAAACCGGAGCUAAUACCGGAUGAUAUUUUGAACCGCAUGGUUCAAAAGUGAAAGACGGUCUUGCUGUCACUUAUAGAUGGAUCCGCGCUGCAUUAGCUAGUUGGUAAGGUAACGGCUUACCAAGGCAACGAUGCAUAGCCGACCUGAGAGGGUGAUCGGCCACACUGGAACGGAGACACGGUCCAGACUCCUACGGGAGGCAGCAGUAGGGAAUCUUCCGAAAUGGGCGAAAGCCUGACGGAGCAACGCCGCGUGAGUGAUGAAGGUAUUCGGAUCGUAAAACUCUGUUAUUAGGGAAGAACAUAUGUGUAAGUAACUGUGCACAUCUUGACGGUACCUAAUCAGAAAGCCACGGCUAACUACGUG